GUCGACUAAAACAAGGUCUUUGGUCCAUCAUCCCAGCAAAAGGAUUUGUACGAUCAAGCAGUGUGUCCCAUUGUAUUUGAUGUUCUGGAUGCCUAUACUUCUACCAUCUUUGCCUACGGGCAAACUAGACCUGGGCAGGCCUAUACUACGGAGGAUGGGUCAAGAAAAAAGAAUGGUGAUAUCCCAAGUGAUGUUGGGGUUAUUCCAAGAGCCAUUAGACUAAUUUUUGACAUCUCAGAAGCUCAAAAUGCUAAGCACAGCCUGAAGGUCACAUUCUUAGAACUUUACAAUGUGGAAAUAACAGAUGUUUUGGUGCCGGGUGAAUGUUCGAAAUUCAUAAAAGACAAAUCAAAGAAUCCAGUAGCUCUCUUGGAGGAUGGCAAAGGCGGAACUUUUGUUAGGGGAUUUGAAGACGAGAUUGUGUCAACAGCUGAUGAAAUAUAUAAGAUCUUAGAGAAAGGUUUUACCAAGACGAGAACAGCAGAGACCCUUCUGAACAAACAGAGCAGCCGUUCUCACUCUGUAUUAUGUAUCGCUAUUCAUAUCAAUGAGUGUGAUCCAGAAGGAGAGGAGAUGAUCAAAUGUGGGAAGCUAAAGUUAGUCGACCUGGCUGGAUCAGAGAAUAUUUCACGUUCCGGUGCUAGAGAGCAUGGAAGAGCAAGGGAAGCCGGUGAGAUAAACAAAAGUUUGCUGACUCUUGGUCGAGUCAUUAAUUCCUUAGUUUAAUAUUCUGAUCAUAUACCCUACAGAUUCUUUGGCAGGGGAAACAAAGACAUGUAUAAUUGCUACGAUAUCACCUUCCUCCCUCUGUUUAGAAGGGACACUCAGUACAUUAGAUUAUGUUCAUCUUGCCAAACACAUUAAGAAAAAACCAGAGGUCAAUCAGAAGAUGGUUAAGUCCUUUCUGAUCAAGGAUUUCUACUUUCAAAUUGAUCGACUUGAUGUGCAUAUUACAAGAGUGAAGAAUGAAAUCUAGAGGUUUCUGAUCUCUUUUAAGAUUUCUUUAUUGAUAUUGUGGGUUAGCCUUCAUACAACUUUUUUAGAACUUUUGUCAGCUUUUGGGUUUGGAAUGAUGUCAUGCAAUACUUUCGAGAGGAUCUGCAUCAGAGGCUCUUAAGUGCUUACUUUCAAAAAGCAAGUUGAUGGCAUUGAGAUGUUUCAAAAGGCUCUUCCAUCCAUGGGAAGAGAGGUGAUUGAAGUCUUAGAUAUAGUAUUAAAGCUUUGGAUCUGUUGAGAAAUGAGGGCUACACUAUGACAAAAGCAGAUGCAACAACUUUCUUCCUUACUUGGUUGAGAAGACUGGAAUGAAGCAUUGGGAAUCAUAGAAUAUGGUUCUCCUGAACAGGCUGUUGAGGGAUGAAAAUUGUGUGCCAUGAAUU